UACAGCCACACCACAUUGAAACACCGGUUUCCGUACGAUCACUAAAGUUAAGCAACGUCGAGCCUGGUCACUACCUAGAUGGGUGGCCGUUUGGGAAUACCAGGUGCUGUAAG
rnacentral:rRNA from 1 species